AUAUCUCCGAGGCUCAGUAUGGUCAGAAGUGCAGAAAUUCCAUGAAUUAGAAAUAACUCCAUGUCUCUAGUAAGGCAGGGAGCAGGGAGCAGGCUGCCACUGCUUCCGUGCAGGCACGACAGACGUCUGUGCCAUCUGUGUGCCCCAUCAGCUUUGCCUGGAGAUUCAGUUGCAUCGCUGCAUCCCUGAUGUUAAGGCAGUACAGAAAAACGUGGUGUGCUCCAGCAGAUCCCUGGGGCAGCCGCAGGAUCAAUGCAGUAGCUGAACAGCUGGGGAAGAACCAUCACAGCAAAGUCUGGAAAACUCCUUUAUCCCUACAGAGGAGAAUGAGUUGGUAGUUUUGCUCAUCUCACCCAUUUCAUUUCAUUAGAGACUGAGGAGGACGGAGUCCUGCAGGCCUUGGAAGGGGUUGGGGAUGCUGCUUUUAAUGCAGGACAUCCCAUGUUGGGAUGCAGGAUACCCAUCCUCCACGGAGUCAGCAAAUAUCCCAAUGAUUUGGACCUGUAUUCCAGAAUCUAAGCUCAUCUCCUACACUGACUUCUUCUACCUGAAUAAAUAAAUCUCAUGUGUCUGCUACUAGUCAGACAGUAAAAGUAAUCUUUAUCGCCAUAAUAUCUUUGUCAGCUUUCCUUUAUUCCAGCAAAGUACUGUAAUAUCUGAAAAAUGCUUUAGAAACAUAAGCAUUUUUUUGAGCAAUAAAUACUGAAAGAGUCUCCAAGACUUGAGUCUUACAAACCAAACCAAACCACUCAGCCAGGUUUUCUUGGCAUGAUUCCUUUUGCAAAAUGGAUAUCUUACUGCCUGCUGGAGCCAGAAGAGAAGAAAGGGAUGAAGGCAGUGGUUUGCUCCAUCCUGAUCAUUCUUUUAGGACUCUGUGUAGAGCAGAAGGGAUAUUUCAAAGCAAUAUUUGACUAAAUGAGGGGCACCGAUGGUCUAGACCCCAAGCUGGUACAGAGGACCCUCACUGGGUUGCUCUCAAUGAAGCAUAGGGUGGGAUGAUGCUCUAGGUCUGCAUUUAAAGCAUCAGAUUUUAAAAUGGUGCAAACUGGUCUGAACCAUCAGCAAACUCCCAAUUUUGCCAUGAAGCUGCUGUCUCACUCCCUGCUCCCUUCUAGGCACCCAGCUCUUAAUGGGCAGCAGGGUUGUGCCAGUUCAGAUGAUCCACGUGUAGCAGGCAGCGGUCAGGCAGUGCUGUACUUGUGCUUCAGUGAGGUGCUGUUUGGGCUUUGGUAUCUGUCAUAGAAUCAACAAAUCCCAGACUGGUUUGCGUUGAAGGGAUCUUAAAGCUCAUCCAGCUCCAACCCCUGCCAUGGGCAGGGACCCCUUCCACUAGAGCAGCUUGCUCCAAGCCCCUGUGUCCAACCUGGCCUUGAACACUGCCAGGGAUGGGGCAGCCACAG